GCCCUGUGGAUAGCUCAGUUGGUAGAGUGUGAGACUCUCGAUCUUAGGGUCGUGGGUUCGAGCCCCAUGUUGGGCA